ensembl:lncRNA
AACCAAAAGGAGAGAUCUGAUUCACCAACACCACAUCUGUCUUUGAGGAGUGAGAGAUCAGUUCCAGUACCACUGGGCUUCAGCAGAGAAGCACAGACAAAUAUAAAAAGAAAGCGGUGUGUGGAAGACACAGAAGAGCAGACAGAGUCCACACCUGCUAAAGGAGUCUGUCAGCAGCACCACAGAGAUCUGGAAGUGUUCUGUAAGACAGAUAACAUGUACAUCUGUGCCAGAUGUGUGGGGCAAGAGCACCAAGGACAUAGUAAAAUCUAUACUGCGGUUAGUUUUUUAUUGUAAUAUCCAUGCUGUUAUCCAACAGAAAAUGUAAUAUAUUUUAAGAUCAAAGGCCUCUGAACUGGAGGCAUUUGUAUUAUAUAAUUCAUGGUUGAUAAACAUUGUUCUGUUGGAUACUGUUGUAUUUUACCACAGAAACCUAAUGUGCCAGAAGGUCAAACCUUGCUCCAUCAUGUCUUGAGAUAGAACUAUCAAAGGAUUACCCAGAAUACUUAGGGAGUAAGCCGGAAGAGCUCAGUGUCUCUGAUGUUGCUGUGAAAAUAGUGGAGUACUUUGGAGGAGAGACAGCACUGGGAAUCACAUUACACUUCCAGGCAAAUGGUAAGACUAUUAUUUAAUUUAACUUAUUUAAUUUAACUUAAAAUAAUAUACAUAAUUAUAUAUAUUUUCACUGCAUCUAAACAUCAGUUAAUCCAUUUAAAAAAAAAAAAAAAAAAUCACAGAAGCCAAUAAAGCAAAACUUCAGGUCA